AGCUGAGAGCCUUGAAGAUGAUGAGC
rnacentral:piRNA from 1 species